AGAGUUUGAUUAUGGCUCAGGACGAACGUUGGCGGCGUGCUUAAUACAUGCAAGUCAACUGAAGCACCGGUAGUAAUACUGGUGUGGAGGUGGCGCACGGGUGAGUAACACGUAGGUAAUCUGCCUUCAGGCCUGACAUAACCCCGGGAAACCGGGGCUAAUAUCAGAUGAUGCAGCGGCUUGACAUCAAGACAGUUGUUAAAGCUUCGGCGCCUGGAGAUGAGCCUGCGUCUGAUUAGCUAGUUGGCGGAGUAAUGGCCCACCAAGGCUACGAUCAGUAGCUGGUCUGAGAGGAUGAUCAGCCACACUGGAACUGAGACACGGUCCAGACUCCUACGGGAGGCAGCAGUAAGGAAUAUUGCUCAAUGGGAGAAAUCCUGAAGCAGCAACGCCGCGUGAAGGAUGAAGGGCUUUUGCUUGUAAACUUCUGUAGUGAGGGAAAAAACCUCCAUUUUAUGGAGUAUGAUGUACCUCAAAAUAGCCCGNAUCCG
rnacentral:rRNA from 1 species